GUGUCAGCAGCCGCGGUAAUACGUAGGCAGCAAGCGUUGUUCGGAGUUACUGGGCGUAAAGAGUGUGUAGGCUGUUCUCUAAGUUUGGUGUGAAAUCUCCCGGCUUAACUGGGAGGGUGCGCCGAAAACUGGAGGGCUUGAGUAUGGGAGAGGAAAGCGGAAUUCCUGGUGUAGCGGUGAAAUGCGUAGAUAUCAGGAGGAACACCUGCGGUGUAGACGGCUUUCUGGACCAUCACUGACGCUGAGACACGAAAGCGUGGGGAGCAAACAGGAUUAGAUACCCUAGUAGUCC
rnacentral:rRNA from 1 species